AUCUUUCUAGUAUCAAUAACAGUACAAGUGACUUCCAAUCAUUUAGUCUUGGUUAAACCCCAAGGAAGGAUA
rnacentral:tRNA from 1 species